GAGAGGUGGCAGAGUGGUCGAUUGCGGCGGUCUUGAAAACCGUUGUACUGCAAGGUACCGGGGGUUCGAAUCCCUCCCUCUCC
rnacentral:tRNA from 1 species